CGCCUCUUGACUAAAUAUAAGAGGUCCAGCCUGCCCAGUGACUAAUGUUCAACGGCCGCGGUAUCCUAACCGUGCGAAGGUAGCGUAAUCACUUGUUCUUUAAAUGGGGACUUGUAUGAAUGGCAUCACGAGGGUUAUACUGUCUCCUUUUUCCAAUCAGUGAAUCUAAUCUCCCCGUGAAGAAACGGGGAUACAACUAUAAGACGAGAAGACCCUAUGGAGCUUUAAAUACCUCUUCAAACGUUGGACCUUUCCCCCCCCCAGUUUUUAACUCACUUAUAUUAACCCUGAACGCCAUGAAGACAACUUUUAGGUUGGGGUGACCGCGGAGAACAACAAAACCUCCACGCUGAAUCAGACUUUCUAAGCCUGAACUAAGAGCCACCGCUCAAUGCACUAAAAAAUUAACAUCUAUUGACCCAAUACAUCACUUGAUCAACGAACCAAGUUACCCUAGGGAUAACAGCGCAAUCCAUUUCAAGAGUCCAUAUCGACAAGUGGGUUUACGACCUCGAUGUUGGAUCAGGGUAUCCCAGUGGUGCAGCCGCUACUAAUGGUUCGUUUGUUCAACGAUUAAAACCC
rnacentral:rRNA from 1 species